UUCAGUAUUCAAUUAGGAAAGCAGAAACAUUCCACAUAAAUAUAAUACUGAACACUAAUUACACAGGUAAGGGAAGAACUGAGAAGCCAAACAGGAAAUGCUGAGACACUAGAGAUUAACAAGAGCAGGAAGUCACCAGUGCCCCCAGGGCUAGAAGGGCAGCAGGAGGAAGUGGCAUUCCCAAACCCCAGAUUCUGGGUCAUCCCAUGGAGGCCAUACCAUGGAGGGUGCUGCCGUGCGGUGCAGACUGCAUACCAAGCAAGAGCUGGAGUUUGAAAGGAGAUUGCUGCUGUCCAGGAGAAGGAGAAGGAGAAUUGUCCUGUCCUCGUCUUUCCUUCCAUCAUCUCAUCUCACAUCAGUGCCUCCCAUUGGUUGAAUCCAGCAAGAAAGCAGCUGAAGAAGUUGUGUUCUGCUAAAGUCAAGAAGAAAAUUAAGAAACAGGAAAACAUUAGAUGUAGCAGAAGUGGGAGGCAAAGUAAAUUCGUAGGAAGAUGCAAAAGAGGUAUCAAGACCACAGCAAGCCUAGAUCAACCAGACCAAGUCCGAAGGCCUAGAUCAACCAUCAGGAGCACUGAUGAUGUAUAGAAGCAUGCCAUGUUUUCACUUAAAGCAUCAGCAGAAGGCAAGAAAGGAAGAAUAAUUUGUAUUGAUUGAUUGAUUAUUUGGGUCAAUGCCGCUUGACAGAUUCUGAAGAACAAGAGGUAUAGAAGAAUGCCAUAUUUCACUUAAAGCUUCAGCAGAAGGCAAAAAAGAAAAAAAUUACUUUGUACUGAUUGAUUUAUUAUUUGAGUCAAUGCCUCUUGACAGAUUCUGGAGAAGAGGAUUCUAAUAAUAGCCAAGAUUACCUGCUUUCUGGUGCUGAGACCUGUUUGCCAGUCCAAUAAAGUGAAGAACACUGACGGAUUUCGUUAGGAGUUGGUGAGAGAAGAACAUUGAGAAGAGAGUUGUCCUAGGAAAAGUUAUCUCAGAAGCAAAGUUCAAGGCAAGAAUAUGAGUAGCAGUGGUUUAUUUGUAAGGUGACUUCAGUAAUCAUUGGUAGGGAAGUGGGCAGGUGAGGCAGAAGGAAAGGAUGUGAUGAACAGGCUGCAGGUGAGGGUAAUAGAAUUCAAUUCUGUUGGAGAAGUGCACCUGAUGGGUACAGAAGCUGAUGUAUUUAUCCUCAAAGAUCUAUUUUUCAUGGGCUGAGAAUACUUCCUGGAGAUGUUAGUUCCCCAGUGUUUCCAUUCCAUCCCGUGCACAGAUUGAGGAAAGACUCUUGGCCUGAGAGCCGCAGAUGCUUGCAGUAGGACACUUUCUGCCCGUGAGGUAAGAGUGAGUCAUAAAGGCUUGUACAGAGAGCACUAACACUGUGGUGGCUAUUGUGAUGUUUCAACUUGCCUUUUUAUACAAUCAAACACAAAUACAGGUGUUGCUGUGAAGGAAUUCUGUAGUUGUAAUAAAGAUCCUAAUGCAUUGUCUUUAAGCAAGAGGGAUUAUUCUGGAUAAUGUGAGUGGACCUAAGUGAAUGAGUUGCAAAGCCUUAAAUGCAGGGUUGAUAUUUCUGAGAGAGAGGAGAGAGACUGAAAGAGAAAGAAAAAGAAGAAAUUUCUCUUGAGGACAAUUUCAACCUGUUCUCAGGGAGUUCCAUCCUGUUUGUGAUCUUUCUUUCUUGUGGAUGAUAACUUCAACCAUAGCCAUAGGUUCAAGACUAUGCCUUCCUGAAUGUCUGCUCUAUGGAUUUAGGACUUUAUUCCAGUUCCCGCAACCAUGCCAUCUAUCUAUCUAUCUAUCCAUCCAUCCAUCCAUCCAUCCGUCAAGAGAGAUAUAAUUUUAAUACCUGUAAAACCUUAAAUUUCCUGCAACUCCAGUUGAACUCCGAUUGGUGUAGAUAAUUUUGGUGUUUGGAAGUAGGUGCUACCAUAACAAACACAUAAAAAUAUGGAGGCGGCUUUAAAACCAAGUGGAUGGAGGCUGGAAGAAGGCUGAAAAAAAUUUUGAAAGAUAUGAUGAUAGAGAAUGCCUAAAUUGUCUUCAACUGAUUGUGAGUCAAAAUAUGAAUUUUAUGAGUCUUUCUGGUAAGGGCUCAGAAUACAGUGAGGGGCAUGUUAUUGGAAACAGGAGAAAUAGAGAUGCUUGUUAGGUAAUGGCAGAAAAUUUAGUGAAAUUGGCUCCUGUGAGAAUAGUGGAAAAUAGAGUUUCCUCUGGGUGGUAGCAGAAGCAAUUCAAGGCACUAGAAAGAUCUGAUGCACUAUUGCUGAUUCAAAGAUGGAGAGGCCCAUAUGCAAGAAACAGAGAGUAGCUUUGUAUUAGUUUUCUAGGGCUGCCAUAAAAAAAUGACAGACUGGCCAGGCACGGUGACUCACACCUAUAA